GGUUAAGUGACUAAGCGUACACGGUGGAUGCCUAGGCAGUCAGAGGCGAUGAAGGGCGUGCUAAUCUGCGAAAAGCGUCGGUAAGGUGAUAUGAACCGUUACAACCGGCGAUACCCGAAUGGGGAAACCCAGUGUGUUUCGACACACUAUCAUGUCAUGAAUACAUAGUGGCAUGAGGCGAACCGGGGGAACUGAAACAUCUAAGUACCCCGAGGAAAAGAAAUCAACCGAGAUUCCCCCAGUAGCGGCGAGCGAACGGGGAGGAGCCCAGAACCUGAAUCGGCUUGUGUGUUAGUGGAAGCGUCUGGAAAGUCGCGCAGUAAAGGGUGAUAGCCCCGUACACUAAAAUGCACAGGUCGUGAGUUCGAUGAGUAGGGCGGGACACGUGACAUCCUGUCUGAAUAUGGGGGGACCAUCCUCCAAGGCUAAAUACUCCUGACUGACCGAUAGUGAACCAGUACCGUGAGGGAAAGGCGAAAAGAACCCCGGCGAGGGGAGUGAAAUAGAACCUGAAACCGUGUACGUACAAGCAGUGGGAGCACCUUCGUGGUGUGACUGCGUACCUUUUGUAUAAUGGGUCAGCGACUUAUAUUUUGUAGCAAGGUUAACCGUAUAGGGGAGCCGUAGGGAAACCGAGUCUUAACUGGGCGAAUAGUUGCAAGGUAUAGACCCGAAACCCGGUGAUCUAGCCAUGGGCAGGUUGAAGGUUGGGUAACACUAACUGGAGGACCGAACCGACUAAUGUUGAAAAAUUAGCGGAUGACUUGUGGCUGGGGGUGAAAGGCCAAUCAAACCGGGAGAUAGCUGGUUCUCCCCGAAAGCUAUUUAGGUAGCGCCUCGUGAACUCAUCUUCGGGGGUAGAGCACUGUUUCGGCUAGGGGGCCAUCCCGGCUUACCAAACCGAUGCAAACUCCGAAUACCGAAGAAUGUUAUCACGGGAGACACACGGCGGGUGCUAACGUCCGUCGUGAAGAGGGAAACAACCCAGACCGCCAGCUAAGGUCCCAAAGUCAUGGUUAAGUGGGAAACGAUGUGGGAAGGCAUAGACAGCCAGGAUGUUGGCUUAGAAGCAGCCAUCAUUUAAAGAAAGCGUAAUAGCUCACUGGUCGAGUCGGCCUGCGCGGAAGAUGUAACGGGGCUAAACCAUGCACCGAAGCUGCGGCAGCGACGCUUAGGCGUUGUUGGGUAGGGGAGCGUUCUGUAAGCCGUUGAAGGUGGCCUGUGAGGGUUGCUGGAGGUAUCAGAAGUGCGAAUGCUGACAUAAGUAACGAUAAAGCGGGUGAAAAGCCCGCUCGCCGGAAGACCAAGGGUUCCUGUCCAACGUUAAUCGGGGCAGGGUGAGUCGACCCCUAAGGCGAGGCUGAAAAGCGUAGUCGAUGGGAAACAGGUUAAUAUUCCUGUACUUGGUGUUACUGCGAAGGGGGGACGGAGAAGGCUAGGCUAGCCGGGCGACGGUUGUCCCGGUUUAAGCGUGUAGGGGGUGUGACCUGGUAAAUCCGGUUGCAUAUCAACCCUGAGGCGUGAUGACGAUGCACUACGGUGCAGAAGUAGUUGAUGCCCUGCUUCCAGGAAAAGCCUCUAAGCUCCAGGUAACAUUGAAUCGUACCCCAAACCGACACAGGUGGUCAGGUAGAGAAUACCAAGGCGCUUGAGAGAACUCGGGUGAAGGAACUAGGCAAAAUGGUGCCGUAACUUCGGGAGAAGGCACGCUGGCAUGUAGGUGAAGUCCCUUGCGGAUGGAGCUGAAGCCAGUCGAAGAUACCAGCUGGCUGCAACUGUUUAAUAAAAACACAGCACUGUGCAAACACGAAAGUGGACGUAUACGGUGUGACGCCUGCCCGGUGCUGGAAGGUUAAUUGAUGGGGUCAGCCGCAAGGCGAAGCUCUUGAUCGAAGCCCCAGUAAACGGCGGCCGUAACUAUAACGGUCCUAAGGUAGCGAAAUUCCUUGUCGGGUAAGUUCCGACCUGCACGAAUGGCGUAAUGAUGGCCAGGCUGUCUCCACCCGAGACUCAGUGAAAUUGAACUCGCUGUGAAGAUGCAGUGUACCCGCGGCAAGACGGAAAGACCCCGUGAACCUUUACUAUAGCUUGACACUGAACAUUGAGCCUUGAUGUGUAGGAUAGGUGGGAGGCUUUGAAGCGUGGACGCCAGUCUGCGUGGAGCCAUCCUUGAAAUACCACCCUUUAAUGUUUGAUGUUCUAACUCGGCCCCAUAAUCUGGGGUGAGGACAGUGUCUGGUGGGUAGUUUGACUGGGGCGGUCUCCUCCCAAAGAGUAACGGAGGAGCACGAAGGUUAGCUAAUCACGGUCGGACAUCGUGAGGUUAGUGCAAAGGCAUAAGCUAGCUUGACUGCGAGAGUGACGGCUCGAGCAGGUACGAAAGUAGGUCUUAGUGAUCCGGUGGUUCUGAAUGGAAGGGCCAUCGCUCAACGGAUAAAAGGUACUCCGGGGAUAACAGGCUGAUACCGCCCAAGAGUUCAUAUCGACGGCGGUGUUUGGCACCUCGAUGUCGGCUCAUCACAUCCUGGGGCUGAAGUAGGUCCCAAGGGUAUGGCUGUUCGCCAUUUAAAGUGGUACGCGAGCUGGGUUUAGAACGUCGUGAGACAGUUCGGUCCCUAUCUGCCGUGGGCGUUGGAAGAUUGAGAGGGGUUGCUCCUAGUACGAGAGGACCGGAGUGAACGCACCACUGGUGUUCGGGUUGUCAUGCCAAUGGCAUUGCCCGGUAGCUAAGUGCGGAAAAGAUAAGCGCUGAAAGCAUCUAAGCGCGAAACUUGCCUCAAGAUGAGUCUUCCCUGGGCCUUUAAGGCCCCUGAAGGAACGUUUAAGACUAAGACGUUGAUAGGCUGGGUGUGUAAGUGCAGCGAUGCAUUGAGCUAACCAGUACUAAUGAUCCGUGAGGCUUAACCUU
rnacentral:rRNA from 2 species